rnacentral:lncRNA from 10 species
UCAUCUGGAUUAUACAUAUUUCGCAAUGAAAGAGAGGAAGAAAAGGAAGCAGCAAAAUAUGUGGAGGCCCAACAAAAGAGACUAGAAGCCUUAUUCACUAAAAUUCAGGAGGAAUUUGAAGAACAUGAAGUUACUUCCUCCACUGAAGUCUUGAACCCCCCAAAGUCAUCCAUGAGGGUUGGAAUCAACUUCUGAAAACACAACAAAACCAUAUUUACCAUCACGUGCACUAACAAGACAGCAAGUUCGUGCUUUGCAAGAUGGUGCAGAGCUUUAUGAAGCAGUGAAGAAUGCAGCAGACCCAGCUUACCUUGAGGGUUAUUUCAGUGAAGAGCAGUUAAGAGCCUUGAAUAAUCACAGGCAAAUGUUGAAUGAUAAGAAACAAGCUCAGAUCCAGUUGGAAAUUAGGAAGGCCAUGGAAUCUGCUGAACAAAAGGAACAAGGUUUAUCAAGGGAUGUCACAACCGUGUGGAAGUUGCGUAUUGUAAGCUAUUC